rnacentral:rRNA from 1 species
AGGGUUCGAUUCUGGCUCAGGAUGAACGCUGGCGGCGUGCUUAACACAUGCAAGUCGAACGGGAUCCAUCAGGCUUUGCUUGGUGGUGAGAGUGGCGAACGGGUGAGUAAUGCGUGACCGACCUGCCCCAUACACCGGAAUAGCUCCUGGAAACGGGUGGUAAUGCCGGAUGCUCCGACUCCUCGCAUGGGGUGUCGGGAAAGAUUUCAUCGGUAUGGGAUGGGGUCGCGUCCUAUCAGGUAGUCGGCGGGGUAACGGCCCACCGAGCCUACGACGGGUAGCCGGCCUGAGAGGGCGACCGGCCACAUUGGGACUGAGAUACGGCCCAGACUCCUACGGGAGGCAGCAGUGGGGAAUAUUGCACAAUGGGCGCAAGCCUGAUGCAGCGACGCCGCGUGCGGGAUGACGGCCUUCGGGUUGUAAACCGCUUUUGAUCGGGAGCAAGCCUUCGGGUGAGUGUACCUUUCGAAUAAGCACCGGCUAACUACGUGCCAGCAGCCGCGGUAAUACGUAGGGUGCAAGCGUUAUCCGGAAUUAUUGGGCGUAAAGGGCUCGUAGGCGGUUCGUCGCGUCCGGUGUGAAAGUCCAUCGCUUAACGGUGGAUCUGCGCCGGGUACGGGCGGGCUGGAGUGCGGUAGGGGAGACUGGAAUUCCCGGUGUAACGGUGGAAUGUGUAGAUAUCGGGAAGAACACCAAUGGCGAAGGCAGGUCUCUGGGCCGUUACUGACGCUGAGGAGCGAAAGCGUGGGGAGCGAACAGGAUUAGAUACCCUGGUAGUCCACGCCGUAAACGGUGGAUGCUGGAUGUGGGGCCCGUUCCACGGGUUCCGUGUCGGAGCUAACGCGUUAAGCAUCCCGCCUGGGGAGUACGGCCGCAAGGCUAAAACUCAAAGAAAUUGACGGGGGCCCGCACAAGCGGCGGAGCAUGCGGAUUAAUUCGAUGCAACGCGAAGAACCUUACCUGGGCUUGACAUGUUCCCGACGACGCCAGAGAUGGCGUUUCCCUUCGGGGCGGGUUCACAGGUGGUGCAUGGUCGUCGUCAGCUCGUGUCGUGAGAUGUUGGGUUAAGUCCCGCAACGAGCGCAACCCUCGCCCUGUGUUGCCAGCACGUCAUGGUGGGAACUCACGGGGGACCGCCGGGGUCAACUCGGAGGAAGGUGGGGAUGACGUCAGAUCAUCAUGCCCCUUACGUCCAGGGCUUCACGCAUGCUACAAUGGCCGGUACAACGGGAUGCGACACGGCGACGUGGAGCGGAUCCCUGAAAACCGGUCUCAGUUCGGAUUGGAGUCUGCAACCCGACUCCAUGAAGGCGGAGUCGCUAGUAAUCGCGGAUCAGCAACGCCGCGGUGAAUGCGUUCCCGGGCCUUGUACACACCGCCCGUCAAGUCAUGAAAGUGGGCAGCACCCGAAGCCGGUGGCCUAACCCCUUGUGGGAUGGAGCCGUCUAAGGUGAGGCUCGUGAUUGGGACUAAGUCGUAACAAGGUAGCCGUACCGGAAGGUGCGGCUG